AUUUUUUGUAAAUAUAAUGUAUUGAUAUUUGAGUUUUUUUAAAUCUAAUUAUUUGUAAAUAUAAUGUAUUGAUAUCAAAAUAUGUUGUUUAAUAAAAAUUACAAUGAAAAAAGAAAUAAAGAAAAUGACAGUUUUUGUAGACAAAAAUGGGUUAUACUUAUGAAAAAUAAACCGAAUAGAGAAAUUAACGUGGAGCUACUUUUGUUAGAAACAUGAAACCUGUUAGAUUGAUACAUAUCAAAAGAGCUAAGUUUGCUUUAAACAUUAUAGGAUGGGUUGAAACACUACAAA
rnacentral:lncRNA from 1 species